GACGAACGCUGGCGGCGUGCUUAACACAUGCAAGUCGAGCGGUAAGGCCCUUUCGGGGGUACACGAGCGGCGAACGGGUGAGUAACACGUGGGUGACCUGCCCUCAGCUCUGGGAUAAGCCCGGGAAACUGGGUCUAAUACUGGAUAUGACUCCACGGUGCAUGCCGUGGGGUGGAAAGCCUUGUGCGGCUGAGGAUGGGCCCGCGGCCUAUCAGCUUGUUGGUGGGGUGAUGGCCUACCAAGGCGACGACGGGUAGCCGGCCUGAGAGGGCGACCGGCCACACUGGGACUGAGACACGGCCCAGACUCCUACGGGAGGCAGCAGUGGGGAAUAUUGGACAAUGGGCGCAAGCCUGAUCCAGCGAUGCCGCGUGUGUGAAGAAGGCCUGCGGGUUGU
rnacentral:rRNA from 1 species